AUUGAACGCUGGCGGCAUGCUUUACACAUGCAAGUCGAACGGUAACAGGUUAAGCUGACGAGUGGCGAACGGGUGAGUAAUGCAUCGGAACGUGCCCGGUCGUGGGGGAUAACGCAGCGAAAGCUGCGCUAAUACCGCAUACGAUCUGAGGAUGAAAGCGGGGGACCGUAAGGCCUCGCGCGAUCGGAGCGGCCGCGGUCAGAUUAGGUAGUUGGUGGGGGAAAGGCGCACCAAGCCAACGAUCUGUAGAUGGUCUGAGAGGACGACCAGCCACACGGGGACUGAGACACGGACCAGACUCCUACGGGAGGCAGCAGUGGGGAAUUUUGGACAAUGGGCGAAAGCCUGAUCCAGCAAUGCCGCGUGCAGGAAGAAGGCCUUCGGGUUGUAAACUGCUUUUGUACGGAGCGAAAAGGUCUCCUCUAAUACAGGGGGCUCAUGACGGUACCGUAAGAAUAAGCACCGGCUAACUACGUGCCAGCAGCCGCGGUAA
rnacentral:rRNA from 1 species